rnacentral:rRNA from 1 species
UACGUAGGUGGCAAGCGUUGUCCGGAUUUCCUGGGCGUAAAGAGCGCGCCGGCGGUCGUGCAAGUCGCGUGUGAAAGCCCCCGGCUCAACUGGGGAGGGUCACGCGAUACUGCUCGACUCGAAGGCAGGAGAGGGAAGUGGAAUUCCCGGUGUAGUGGUGAAAUGCGUAGAUAUCGGGAGGAACACCAGUGGUGUAAACGGCUUUCUGGACCAUAACUGACGCUGAGGCACGAAAGCGUGGGUAGCAAACAGG